AAACAACGUGGUUAAUGCUGAACACCUGCUUUCCUCCUGGCUGUCUACAGAGUUUUGGCAUGUGCUAGGAAACAAGCAGCCCUGUUGUGAGCUGGCCUCUGGAGAGGUCCAUGGGGCAGGAAACAGGGCAGUCUUAAGAGUUGAGCCCGAGCUCGACAGCUUCUGAGAAACUAAUCUCACCACCAACCACAGAGCCCGGAAGCAGACCCUUCCCCGCCCAAGUCCUGAGAUGACUGCAGCCUGGCUGACCCUUGAUUACAACUCUGAAGAUGCUCUUGGCCAGAGGACCCAUAAAGACCCACCCUGAUGGACUUCUCAUUGGCAGACAACAAUGUUGUUUUAGUGGCUAUGUCUGAGUACUCUGCUACUUAGCAAUUGAUAACUAACACACUCUACCAUGUAAACCAACUAAACAUUCAGACAAUACAGCAUAUGAAGCAAGGGCUUCCAGACUGUGGACAUCUGGCAACUAAGGAUAUGAUGCCCAAAAGAAAGGAAAUGAGCCCCAGGAUCAUGCUAGCUUACAGCACAGAAAGUGAAAGGCUUGGUGCCGGGAAAAGGAGCCCCAGCAAGUAAAUUUAAAUUCACAGGGCAGAGUCCUAGAGAAUGAAGAGGCCCAAAGAGAGCUGUAGGAGCCUGCAGGGGUCCUCCCUACCCCAGUUUUCAGUUCAGGACUUUUAAUGAGCCUAGGUUAAAACAGCCUUAGGAGGGGAAGAAGAAAGGAUGAGAGGAACCAAUCUCUAAAGCUCAUUCAGGGCAAGGAAUCCUGUCUGUUCUCACCAAUGAGCACCUCAUUAAUUCCAAUGAAGUACCAAUGAAGUGCUCAGCAGAGUACUGCCUCACUAGUGGGGCAAAACUGGAGCUAGACUACAGUAGAUCUGGACCCACAGAAGGCUUAAAAACAAGACCAAACAGGGGUGGGGGUUCUAUCCCAAAAGAACCACUAGGCCUGGCUAACACACACUGGUAUAUGAGAACAUGCCUGUGCCGUGUUCUGAGGGUGGGAGAGCAAAGAGACAGAAGAUAAACCUGGACUGAGGUAAAGAUGAGGCAUCCUUACCUGACACAGGAUUUAACACUAAGGAGAGAG
rnacentral:lncRNA from 1 species